GAUGAACGCUGGCGGCGUGCCUAACACAUGCAAGUCGAGCGUGAUUUAUGAGGACGAAACUUCGGUCUAGGAAUCAUAAUGAAAGCGGCGGACGGGUGAGUAACGCGUAGGCAACCUGCCCUUGACACAGGGAUAGCCUCGGGAAACCGGGAUUAAAACCUGAUGACGCCAAACAGUCACAUGGCUGUUUGGCCAAAGAUUUAUCGGUCAAGGAUGGGCCUGCGUCUGAUUAGUUAGUUGGUGGGGUAACGGCCUACCAAGACGACGAUCAGUAGCCGACCUGAGAGGGUGAUCGGCCACAUUGGAACUGAGACACGGUCCAAACUCCUACGGGAGGCAGCAGUGGGGAAUAUUGCACAAUGGGCGAAAGCCUGAUGCAGCAACGCCGCGUGAGCGAUGAAGGCCUUUGGGUCGUAAAGCUCUGUCCUUGGGGAAGAAACAAAUGACGGUACCCAAGGAGGAAGCCCCGGCUAACUACGUG
rnacentral:rRNA from 1 species